rnacentral:rRNA from 1 species
ACGGAAGGCAGCAGUGGGGAAUAUUGCACAAUGGGCGAAAGCCUGAUGCAGCGACGCCGCGUGAGUGAAGAAGUAUUUCGGUAUGUAAAGCUCUAUCAGCAGGGAAGAUAAUGACGGUACCUGACUAAGAAGCACCGGCUAAAUACGUGCCAGCAGCCGCGGUAAUACGUAUGGUGCAAGCGUUAUCCGGAUUUACUGGGUGUAAAGGGAGCGUAGACGGCAUGGCAAGUCUGAAGUGAAAGCCCGGGGCUUAACCCCGGGACUGCUUUGGAAACUGUUAAGCUAGAGUGCAGGAGAGGUAAGUGGAAUUCCUAGUGUAGCGGUGAAAUGCGUAGAUAUUAGGAGGAACACCAGUGGCGAAGGCGGCUUACUGGACUGUAGCUGACGUUGAGGCUCGAAAGCGUGGGGAGCAAACAGGAUUAGAUACCCUGGUA